UACGUAGGGGGCAAGCGUUGUCCGGAUUUAUUGGGCGUAAAGAGCGUGUAGGCGGCUUUGCAAGUCCGUUGUGAAAACUCGAGGCUCAACCUCGAGACGCCGGUGGAAACUGCAAAGCUAGAGUCCGGAAGAGGAGAGUGGAAUUCCUGGUGUAGCGGUGAAAUGCGCAGAUAUCAGGAGGAACACCGAUGGCGAAGGCAGAUCUCUGGGCCGUAACUGACGCUGAGGAGCGAAAGCGUGGGGAGCGAACAGG
rnacentral:rRNA from 1 species